CCCAUCUGUUCUUAUCAAAGGCACAAACUCAUCUCCUCUCCUCUCUUCUCUGAGAACCUCAUUCUGUCUAGCUUUGUAAUGGUGAUCCUCAGUGUACAGCCACUGCCUCCAUUCAUCAUAGCUGUUGUGACAGCACCAUCAAUAUCAGAACCAAAGCCACCUCUUACAUGAUUUGGUGAACUUUUGUAUAUUUUGGUAUUCUUGACUUCUCACCUCACCAGCAUCAUUGCUUUUUCUAGUUGAUCUCUGUUGCGCUUCCGUGUAGAUGCACUUGAUCCUGCCUUUGUAGCAUUUUUGGUAUGGUAUCCUGCAACUUCUCUCUCUUCCAGGGGUUAGCGCAGCCACCGCAGUGACGGGUUUGACCACUGCAGCCCCCACCGCGUCGUUGUCAUCACCAAGCUCGCCUUCUCUCUGUUCGCCUCAGGAAGCUCGAGAAGAAGCAUGGGAUAAAGUUUCUAUUCUUGAGCUUGAGAUAAAUGCCGCAAUGCGGGAUCUAGAUUUUGAGAGGAGGAGAUUAAGAGGUGCCAAGGAAAGACUUAUGCUUUGGGAAACACAACUACGGGCAUUUUAUUCCAUUACUGAGGAGAUGCAAGUACUCUUUGCUAAGCAACAGGAGCAAUUAAAUGCUAUGCAGAGAACUCUUGAAAACGAAGAGAAUUACGAGAAUACUUGUGUAGAUAUGGAUGGAGUGAUCGGUGGAACCCCUGGAAGAGAGAGAAGUUGCAGGAUACUAUAGUUGCAGGAUCAACUGCAUCUACACUGAAGCGCAACAGAGAUCAAGUAGAAACCUCAAGCAAUGAACCUAGUGUCACUGAGAAGCAUGACUGUGAGGUGAGAAGUCAAGAAUGCCAAAAUACACGAGUUCACCAGUGCAGAUCAUGACCAUGAUGUAAGAGGUGGCUUUGGUUAUGAUAUUAAUGGUGCUGGCACAAUAGCUAUGAUGGAUGGAGGCACUGGCGGUACUGAGGAUCCCCAUUACAAGGCUAGACGGAAUGAGGAAGAUGACACUUCUACGGAAGAAGAUUACACAUAUGAUUAGGAUUAUUGGAUUUGGUGGACCUCAAAUGGUAUAUACAAAGAUUGUUAAAAUGAGAAAACUUCAAAGAAAAUUAUGGGCUUCUAAUGAAGUCAGAGCUUCUAAUCUUUCACUCAGCAUUGACAUAACAUUGUCCUAAGUGCAAUUGAGAAAUUAAAGGAGAGUGAGGUCAAGACUUUGAGAAAAGUCUUACUUGACUUUAGCUUGUCUUACUAGUUUUUUUUAUUAAAUUUUGUACCGUAAUUGUUUGAAAAUUCUGAUUUAUGUUUAGACUGAAGAGAUCACUAUAACUCGAGACAUUAAAAGAUACGACCAACACACCAGGAAUAGAAGUGUCGGAAGUUGCAGGUGUAGCCACAACCAAGAAACCAUGAUUGCCACAAUAUCCUAUGCAUCAUUAUCCAAUGGUCCAUCCUUAUCAACCUUAUGGUGGAGUCCUCCCAAUUCCUUUUCAUCUUGUUCAAAAUGGCAUGGCGUACUUCAACCAUUAUCCUUCUAUUGCUGGAAGUAAAUCAUAUCCUCAGUUAUCCCAUGUCUCGCCGUAUUCUAGUGGACCCAGUGAUAGUUAUACAUGGGUUGGACUUUUGAAUGAUGCCAUCAACAACAAAAAGCCAGAAUUGCAGGAUGAAUGUUGCUGCUUUAGAUUCUUGUCAAGAGAUGGUGUUGAUAUUCAUCAUUCCCUUAAGGUUAGUCUCUGUUUGUUCUUUAAAAGGUGUACUGAAAAUUUUGUUUGGUUUCUGUUUUUUAACAGCGUUGUAGACUUUAGGAUCGCACGAUCUUCUAGUCACCAGAUAGCGCAUGGUGACACUACUAUGUUCAUAGUGCAGGAUAUAGAUUGCAUUGAAGGUUGUAAUACUAGUUCUCGAUGUUCAUGCAGCUAUUGCAAAAGAUCCUCAGCACUUCCGGCAAAUUGUUGUUUUCCUGGUUGACAAAUUUCGGAUAGACAAUUCUCUUUUGGAGAACUAUGCUUUUUCCUUGUUGCAAAAUUUUAUCUUUAUUUAUACAGUUUCACUAAAAUAUUGUAUUUACUUAUAUUUUUUACCUUUAGUUAUUAAAUUCUAUUUUUUUUAAUGCUCUA